AAUAUCUAUUUAAAUUGAAAUGCGACUAACUUUUAUAUUGCCAUACUUGAUGGCCGCUUUAUAAAAGCUGCACUUAAGGAUGUAAGACAUU